rnacentral:rRNA from 1 species
GAUGAACGCUAGCGGCAGGCUUAAUACAUGCAAGUCGAGGGGCAGCGCAGUGUAGAAAUACAGGGGCGGCGACCGGCAAACGGGGGCGGAACACGUACGCAACGGACCCAUAAGUGAUGAAUAGCCCUCCGAAAGGAGGAUUAAUACAUCGUAAAUUAAUGAAGAAGCAUCGCUGUAUUAAUAUAGAUCCGGCGGUUUUGGAUGGGCGGGCGACUGAUUAGGUAGUUGGCGGGGUACCGGCCCACCAAGCCUGCGAUCAGUAACUGGUGUGCGAGCACGACCAGUCACACUGGCACUGGGACACGGGCCCGACUCCUACGGGAGGCCGCCGGAAGGAAUAUUGGUCAAUGGACGCAAGUCUGAACCAGCCAUGCCGCGUGAAUGAUGCAGGUCCUCUGGAUUGUAAACUUCUUUUGAAUGGGACGAAACCUAUUUUUCUUGAGCGACUGACGUUACCAUUAGAAUAAGCACCGGCUAACUCCGUG